rnacentral:rRNA from 1 species
UACGUAGGGUGCGAGCGUUGCCCGGAUUUAUUGGGCGUAAAGGGCGCGUAGGCGGUGAGAUGCGUCCGUUGUGAAAUCGCCCGGCUCAACUGGGCGGGGUCAGCGGAUACGGUCUCACUUGAGCAAGCUAGGGGGCAAUGGAAUUCCCGGUGUAGUGGUGGAAUGCGUAGAUAUCGGGAGGAACACCAGUGGCGAAGGCGGCUCACUGGCCCGUAACUGACGCUGAGGUGCGAAAGCGUGGGGAGCAAACAGG